rnacentral:rRNA from 1 species
GACUAGAGGGCAAGAGAGGGAGGUGGAAUUCCCGGUGUAGAGGUGAAAUGCGUAGAUAUCGGGAGGAACACCAGUGGCGAAGGCGGCCUCCUGGCUUGCAUCUGACGCUGAGACGCGAAAGCGUGGGGAGCGAACGGGAUUAGAAACCCCGGUAGUCCACGCCGUAAACGAUGUCAACUAGGUGUUGGUGGUAUAAAAUCCAUCGGUACCGGAGCUAACGCAUUAAGUUGACCGCCUGGGGACUACGAUCGCAAGAUUAAAACUCAAAGGAAUUGACGGGGACCCGCACAAGCAGCGGAGCGUGUGGUUUAAUUCGAGGCUACGCGAAGAACCUUACCAGGGAUUGACAUGUACGUAGUAGGGAAGUGAAAACGGACCGACCCUUCGGGGAGCGUACACAGGUGAUGCAUGGCUGUCGUCAGCUCGUGCCGUGAGGUGUCAGGUUAAGUCCUGUAACGAGCGCAACCCCUGUCGUGUGUUAUACGUGUCACACGAGACUGCCGGUGUCAAACCGGAGGAAGGCGGGGAUGACGUCAAGUCAGCAUGUCCUUCAUAUCCUGGGCUACACACACGCUACAAUGGUCGGGACAAUAGGCAGCCAAGCCGCGAGGCGGAGCUAAUCCUCUAAACCCGAUCUCAGUUCGGAUUGUAGGCUGCAACUCGCCUGCAUGAAGCCGGAGUUGCUAGUAAACGCGCGUCAGCAACAGUGCGUUGAAUACGUUCCCGGGUCUUGUACACACCGCCCGUCACGUCAUGGAAGUUGGCAACACCUGAAGCCGGU